UACGUAGGGGGCUAGCGUUGUCCGGAAUCAUUGGGCGUAAAGCGCGUGUAGGCGGUCCGGUAAGUCCGCUGUGAAAGUCGGGGGCUCAACCCUGGAACUGCCUCCAAUACUGGUCGGCUCGAGUGCGAGAGAGGAAGGUGGAAUUCCCGGUGUAGUAGUGAAAUGCGUAGAUAUCGGGAGGAACACCAGUGGCGAAGGCGGCCUUCUGGCUCGCAACUGACGCUGUAGCGCGAAAGCGUGGGGAGCGAACGGG
rnacentral:rRNA from 1 species